rnacentral:rRNA from 1 species
UACGAAGGGGGCUAGCGUUGCUCGGAAUCACUGGGCGUAAAGGGUGCGUAGGCGGGUUUUUAAGUCAGGGGUGAAAUCCUGGGGCUCAACUCCAGAACUGCCUUUGAUACUGGAGAGCUUGAGUCCGGGAGAGGUGAGUGGAACUGCGAGUGUAGAGGUGAAAUUCGUAGAUAUUCGCAAGAACACCAGUGGCGAAGGCGGCUCACUGGCCCGGUACUGACGCUGAGGUGCGAAAGCGUGGGGAGCAAACAGG